GAACGGAACCUGUGCGGCGGAUGAGAUGUGAACCUGGUCAGAUGGGGAACCAAGCAGCCAUAAGCAUUGAAGCCGUGCGCGGCAGAAUUUCUGUUUCUG
rnacentral:SRP_RNA from 1 species